UACGGAGGGUGCAAGCGUUGUCCGGAAUCAUUGGGUGUAAAGGGUGCGUAGGCGGGCACUUAAGUCUGGGGUGAAAUCUUGCCGCUUAACGGUAAAAUUGCCUUGGAUACUGAGUGUCUUGAAUCUGGUAGAGGUUGGCGGAAUUUGUGGUGUAGCGGUGAAAUGCAUAGAUAUCACAAAGAACACCGGUGGCGAAGGCGGCCAACUGGGCCAGUAUUGACGCUGAGGCACGAGAGCGUGGGGAGCAAACAGG
rnacentral:rRNA from 1 species